UGGAAUGGUGGGUGAGUGACUUGGCAUUUGUAAUAGAGCGCAAGGAUGCAUGAUAAACAGAGACCAGUCUCUGUAAGAAGGAGGAGGUUGCAUGAUAAACAGAGUCCAGUCUCUGUAAGAAGGAGGAGGUUGCAUGAUAAACAGAGUCAAGUCUCUGUAAGAAGGAGGAGGUUGCAUGAUAAACAGAGGCCCGUCUCUGUAAGAAGGAGGAGGUUGCAUGAUAAACAGAGUCAAGUCUCUGUAAGAAGGAGGAGGUUGCAUG